rnacentral:rRNA from 1 species
GUAGCGUAUAUUAAAGUUGUUGCAGUUAAAACGCUCGUAGUCGAACUUCGGGCCUGGCGGGAUGGUCCGCCUUACGGUGUGUACUAUUCUGCUGGGCCUUACCUCUUGGUGAGACCUCAUGCUCUUUAUUGGGUGUGGGGUGGAACCAGGAAUUUUACCUUGAGAAAAUUAGAGUGCUCAAAGCAGGCUUAUGCUCGAAUACAUUAGCAUGGAAUAAUAAAAUAGGACGUGCGGUUCUAUUUUGUUGGUUUCUAGAGUCGCCGUAAUGAUUAAUAGGGAUAGUUGGGGGCAUUAGUAUUCAGUUGCUAGAGGUGAAAUUCUUGGAUUUACUGAAGACUAACUACUG